rnacentral:lncRNA from 1 species
UACUCGAUAACCUUUUGACCAAUGACUAACAGCAAAAAUAAAAAGGAAAAGAAAAGAAAAAGAACGAAGAAGAAGAAGGUAACGAAGUAGAAGAGAAGAAAAUUAAAAAAAAUCAAAAUAAGAACUAACAAUAAUUAUGAAUUAAAUUCUAGGCAGAUUUCUAACAUUUAACAAAAAUAUUCUUUAUCACCCUCUCCAGAGCUCAAACAUGGG